rnacentral:rRNA from 1 species
AGAGUUUGAUCCUGGCUCAGGACGAACGCUGGCGGCGUGCUUAACACAUGCAAGUCGAACGAAAAGACGGGAAGAGCUUGCUCUUUCCGGAAUUGAGUGGCAAACGGGUGAGUAACACGUAAACAACCUGCCUUCAGGAUGGGGACAACAGACGGAAACGACUGCUAAUACCGAAUAAGUUCCAAGGGCCGCAUGGCCCAUGGAAGAAAAGGUGGCCUCUACCUGUAAGCUAUCGCCUGAAGAGGGGUUUGCGUCUGAUUAGCUGGUUGGAGGGGUAACGGCCCACCAAGGCGACGAUCAGUAGCCGGUCUGAGAGGAUGAACGGCCACACUGGAACUGAGACACGGUCCAGACUCCUACGGGAGGCAGCAGUGGGGAAUCUUCCGCAAUGGGCGAAAGCCUGACGGAGCAACGCCGCGUGAGUGAUGACGGCCUUCGGGUUGUAAAACUCUGUGAUCCGGGACGAAAAGGCAGAGUGCGAAGAACAAACUGCAUUGACGGUACCGGAAAAGCAAGCCACGGCUAACUACGUGCCAGCAGCCGCGGUAAUACGUAGGUGGCAAGCGUUGUCCGGAAUUAUUGGGCGUAAAGCGCGCGCAGGCGGCUUCCCAAGUCCCUCUUAAAAGUGCGGGGCUUAACCCCGUGAUGGGAAGGAAACUGGGAAGCUGGAGUAUCGGAGAGGAAAGUGGAAUUCCUAGUGUAGCGGUGAAAUGCGUAGAGAUUAGGAAGAACACCGGUGGCGAAGGCGACUUUCUGGACGAAAACUGACGCUGAGGCGCGAAAGCGUGGGGAGCAAACAGGAUUAGAUACCCUGGUAGUCCACGCCGUAAACG